UUUGGAAAGAAGAGGUAUUAUCCGAAGUCUGCUGCCAGUAGCGGUGGUGUAGCAAAGGACUGAACUAUUGUUACAUCCAGAUGCAGUGCAGCCUUUUCAAACCUUUAGCUUACAGGUUUUGGAUAAAUUGCAUGUCUACUUCUGAAGCACAUGCAAAAUUCAUACAGGUUGAAGAUUCACUUUUGUUUUGUAUUUAUUAGCAGAUGUUACUUGCAUACCUUCAGAUUCACACACUUUUGAAUUGGCUCAGGAAGAUUAAAAAGUGUGUACAAAGGAACA
rnacentral:misc_RNA from 1 species